rnacentral:rRNA from 1 species
CCUACGGGAGGCAGCAGUGGGGAAUAUUGGACAAUGGGCGAAAGCCUGAUCCAGCAACGCCGCGUGAGUGAUGAAGGCCCUCUGGGUUGUAAAGCUCUGUCAGGAGGGAAGAACGGCCUGGUGUAACGGCCAGGUUUGACGCGUACCUCCAAAGGAAGCACAGGCUAACUCCGUGCCAGCAGCCGCGGUAAUACGGAGUGUGCAAGCGUUGUGCGGAAUUAUUGGGCGUAAAGCGCGUGCAGGCGGUCCUGCAAGUCAGGUGUGAAAGCCCCGGGCUCAACCCGGGAAGUGCACUUGAAACUAGCUGACUAGAGUACAGGAGAGGAAAGUGGAAUUCCCAGUGUAGAGGUGAAAUUCAUAGAUAUUGGGAGGAACACCGGUAGCGAAGGCGGCUUUCUGGUCUGAUACUGACGCUGAGACGCGAAAGCGUGGGGAGCAAACAGGAUUAGAUACCCUGGUAGUCCACGCCGUAAACUAUGGGAACUAGGUGUAGGAAGUGUUGACCCUUUCUGUGCCGAAGCUAACGCAUUAAGUUCCCCGCCUGGGGAGUACGGUCGCAAGGCUAAAACUCAAAGGAAUUGACGG